UGAGUUUGAUCCUGGUUCAGGAUAACGCUACGAUAGGCCUAACACAUGCAAGUCGAGGGGCAGCACAUGAAGUAGCAAUACAGAUGGUGGCGACCGGCGCACGGGUGAGUAACACGUAUGCAACCUACCUUCCACAGGAGAAUAACCCGUUGAAAAACGGACUGAUACUCCAUAAUACAGGGGUCCCGCAUGGGAAUAUUUGUUAAAGAUUUUUUCGGUAGAAGAUGGGCAUGCGUUCCAUUAGCUAGUUGGUUGAGGUAACGGCUCACCAAGGCAACGAUGGAUAGGGGAACUGAGAGGUUUAUCCCCCACACUGGUACUGAGACACGGACCAGACUCCUACGGGAGGCAGCAGUGAGGAAUAUUGGUCAAUGGAGGCAACUCUGAACCAGCCACGUCGCGUGAAGGAUGACGGCCCUACGGGUUGUAAACUUCUUUUAUACAGGAAUAAAGUGAGUCACGUGUGACUUUUUGCAUGUACUGUAUGAAUAAUGGAUCGGCUAACUC
rnacentral:rRNA from 1 species